rnacentral:rRNA from 1 species
AGAGUUUGAUCCUGGCUCAGAGCGAACGCUGGCGGCAGGCUUAACACAUGCAAGUCGAGCGGGCGUAGCAAUACGUCAGCGGCAGACGGGUGAGUAACACGUGGGAACGUACCUUUUGGUUCGGAACAACACAGGGAAACUUGUGCUAAUACCGGAUAAGCCCUUACGGGGAAAGAUUUAUCGCCGAAAGAUCGGCCCGCGUCUGAUUGGCUAGUUGGUGAGGUAAUGGCUCACCAAGGCGACGAUCAGUAGCUGGUCUGAGAGGAUGAUCAGCCACAUUGGGACUGAGACACGGCCCAAACUCCUACGGGAGGCAGCAGUGGGGAAUAUUGGACAAUGGGGGCAACCCUGAUCCAGCCAUGCCGCGUGAGUGAUGAAGGCCCUAGGGUUGUAAAGCUCUUUUGUGCGGGAAGAUAAUGACGUACCGCAAGAAU